rnacentral:tRNA from 1 species
GGGCCUGUAGCUCAGUUGGUUAGAGCAGUGGACUCAUAAUCCAUUGGUCGGAGGUCCGAGUCCUCCCGGGCCCACCA